rnacentral:lncRNA from 1 species
AGUACAUGAAUCACUCCUACUAAGAGAUCCUGAAAGAGGUCAUCAAAGCCACCAGAAACUAUUCCUGGACAGAGGAGGUUUUAUAGGUGUGGUUGGUCUCCUUACUGACGUGUCAACUACAAAUGCACAGGGUUCUGCCUGAAAUGUUUUAGUUGUUGCAGAUGUGUAGCUUCUAUAUGUAAAGUCUUCACUGCACGUGCUACAGAAACUUGAACUAUCUGAAGAGAGGAUGGAGUCAUCAGAUACUGGGAACAAGAAGACUAAGCAAUAAGUGAGAAAAGAAAUGAUGGAAUAGAUGUGAGGCUUCCACAGCAAACUCCUGUAAAACCUGCAGUUAAACCUGAGCAAGAGGAAUGUGACAUAUGUGUCUUUGCUCUUUAUUUGGAUCUGUGUGUAUGCUCUUGGAGCAGUGGCGAAGAAGCUCCAGGUAAGGUAUAGAGUUCUUUAUUUUUCAUCAAGCUAAGAUUUUUAAUGAAACAAUAUCCAAAAUGCUUGCUAUGAAAGAUUCAAGUGAUUUUUGUAGUUCUACAUUCUUGGGUAGGAGAAGAUAAAAAAUGCAGUUAUUACAACUAUAUUAUGAGCCUCUUCUAACCUUUUCUUUAAAGAGGUAGGUAUUUAUAUUUCUAAUAAAUAAAAACGUUUGUAUCAAAUAAGUAAAAUAAACAAUGUUAUUUUACAUAUGGUCUACAAAAAAAAAAAAA